GAUGAACGCUGGCGGCGUGCUUAACACAUGCAAGUCGAACGAAGCACUUUAUUUGAUUUCCUUCGGGACUGAUUAUUUUGUGACUGAGUGGCGGACGGGUGAGUAACGCGUGGGUAACCUGCCUUGUACAGGGGGAUAACAGUUGGAAACGGCUGCUAAUACCGCAUAAGCGCCCGGCAUCGCAUGAUGCAGUGUGAAAAACUCCGGUGGUAUAAGAUGGACCCGCGUUGGAUUAGCUAGUUGGUGAGGUAACGGCCCACCAAGGCGACGAUCCAUAGCCGACCGGAGAGGGUGACCGGCGACAAGGGGACUGAGACACGGCCCAAACUCCUACGGGAGGCAGCAGUGGGGAAUAUUGCACAAUGGGCGAAAGCCUGAUGCAGCGACGCCGCGUGAGCGAAGAAGUAUUUCGGUAUGUAAAGCUCUAUCAGCAGGGAAGAUAAUGACGGUACCUGACGAAGAAGCACCGGCUAAAUACGUG
rnacentral:rRNA from 1 species